rnacentral:rRNA from 1 species
GUACACGCUGUGACUAGCAUAUCAAUAAGCGGAGGAAAAGAAACUAACAAGGAUUCCCCUAGUAACGGCGAGUGAAGCGGGAAGAGCUCAAAUUUGAAAUCUUAAAGGGUUUCCCUUUACGAAUUGUAGUUUAAAGAAGUGUUUUCUGUUGAGGUUUUGGUAAAAGUUCUUUGGAAUAGGACAUCAUAGAGGGUGAGAAUCCCGUAUUUGACCUUUACUUUCAACUUUGUGAUACACUUUCAAAGAGUCGGAUUGUUUGGGAAUGCAGUCCAAAAUGGGUGGUAAAUUUCAUCUAAAGCUAAAUAUUGGCGAGAGACCGAUAGCGAACAAGUACCGUGAGGGAAAGAUGAAAAGAACUUUGAAAAGAGAGUUAAACAGUACGUGAAAUUGUCAAAAGGGAAGCGUUUGACACCAGUGUUGUUUUUCUGAAAAUCAAUUAAAGAACUGUUUAUACUAAGCUGUUUAGACUUUAUCAGCUAUCUGUUUAGUUUUGAGCUUUUCUUUAAUGCACUUUUCAGUUAACAAGUCAACAUCAAUUUCUUUUGCUGUAAAAAAGCUUGAGGAAGGUGGCUUGAGAUUCGUCUUAAGUGUUUAUAGCCUCUUGCCUAUGCAGUCGGAGAGAUUGAGGUCUGCAGCGUAGAUCCUUCGGGGCUAAAUGCAUUUGUGCUAAGUUAUAGCAUUUUAUAGACAACUUGUUGACUAUGAUUUGUCUUGUAGCUUACUCGCUUAUGUUAUUUUACCUACGCUUAGGAUGUUGAUAUGCAUGACUGAUAU